rnacentral:rRNA from 1 species
AUUGAACGCUGGCGGCAUGCCUUACACAUGCAAGUCGAACGGUAACAGGUCUUCGGAUGCUGACGAGUGGCGAACGGGUGAGUAAUACAUCGGAACGUGCCCGAGAGUGGGGGAUAACGAGGCGAAAGCUUUGCUAAUACCGCAUACGAUCUCAGGAUGAAAGCAGGGGACCGCAAGGCCUUGCGCUCACGGAGCGGCCGAUGGCAGAUUAGGUAGUUGGUGGGAUAAAAGCGUACCAAGCCGCCGAUCUGUAGCUGGUCUGAGAGGACGACCAGCCACACUGGGACUGAGACACGGCCCAGACUCCUACGGGAGGCAGCAGUGGGGAAUUUUGGACAAUGGGCGCAAGCCUGAUCCAGCCAUGCCGCGUGCAGGAUGAAGGCCUUCGGGUUGUAAACUGCUUUUGUACGGAACGAAAAGACUCUGGUUAAUACCUGGGGUCCAUGACGGUACCGUAAGAAUAAGCACCGGCUAACUACGUGCCAGCCGCCGCAGUAACAC